AUUGAACGCUGGCGGCAUGCCUUACACAUGCAAAUCGAACGGUAACGGGCCUUCGGGUGCCGACGAGUGGCGAACGGGUGAGUAAUACAUCGGAACGUGCCCGAUCGUGGGGGAUAACGAGGCGAAAGCUUUGCUAAUACCGCAUACGAUCUACGGAUGCAAGCAGGGGACCGCAAGGCCUUGCGCGGACGGGGCGGCCGAUGGCAGAUUAGGUAGUUGGUGGGAUAAAAGCUUACCAAGCCGACGAUCUGUAGCUGGUCUGAGAGGAUGAUCAGCCACACUGGGACUGAGACACGGCCCAGACUCCUACGGGAGGCAGCAGUGGGGAAUUUUGGACAAUGGGCGCAAGCCUGAUCCAGCCAUGCCGCGUGCAGGAUGAAGGCCUUCGGGUUGUAAACUGAUUUUGUACGGAACGAAAAGCCUUCUUUUAAUACAGGAGGGUCAUGACGGUACCGUAAGAAUAAGCACCGGCUAACUACGUG
rnacentral:rRNA from 1 species